CUGAAAAACAUGUUACCAUUAUAGUGAUUCAACCCACACGAGGAUCCCAGAGGACCGCAUCACUUGGGCUUUUAGCAGACAAGCCAACAGAAAACGUUGGUUUGAUCAUUUGUGCUCUGUUUGUGUCACGUUCAAUUUCUUAAUCUAAUGAUCUGGUUUUCUAGUGAUGACAUCAGUGUUUCCGAGCGAUCGGUCACAUUUACAGCUCAAGAUUGUGUUUUUGACACCAUGUGGCCGUGAAGCAAAGAGGCCAACCUGUCUUCAGAUGUAAGUGUAAACCAGCCCAGAGUGCAUCCGUCACGAAGAAGGCAAUCCCAUAAUGCAUUGUGACAGGUGAAGACUAACUCUAUAUCAACAUGCACAACAUCACUGGAGCAUCUGUUCAAUGGAUAAACAUGAGAUCUGUGUGGUUUCCAUGACAACCAUUCAGCAGCAGAAAGCAUGCAGCUGCACUUGAUCGCUUUAUUUGGUAAACGUGGAUGUUUCAACCAGAUGGAAGUGAAGGGUUUUCUUAUGUAGAUUUCUUGAUAUAGUAAUGCAUACAUGAUUGUAAAAAAUGUUGCAUAUUUAUCAUAAUAACAAAAUGUUACGAAAUGAUUUUCAGGGGAAUUUGCAUUCUGCCAGAUUUUGGUGCGAAAUAUGACAGGGAUAUUUAUCUUGUAAUGUUUCAGCAGUAAUCUCCUCCCGUAACACAUGUAUAAAGUGUCUGUAUGUUGACAUAAAGGGUCCCUAGGGGUCUCGCAGAUCUCUUUGAUCUUCAUGUCAUCAGACUGAUCAGUGCAUGUUCUGCGUAAUAACAUUACUCAUUCAUGUCACAUGCAUGUGUUGUGUCUGCUCAUCUCAACAGAUUGCAGGCGACACAUGCGACUGUCUCCACAAGCUGCUCUGAAUAACAGACCGUUUGAGUUGAAGACACGUCACGAGGACGAUGGCAUCGUUUGAAUCUGUGCUUUUAAAUGGAGCCAGACGAAGAUGCAGCAAUCGCUUUUUCAUUGUCAUGAUUGGUUAAAAAAGGAUGACCUGUUUGGACUCAUAUUUAGAAUAAAUGAUGUUAACGUGAAUGCAAUCUGUGCGUCAGUGUUUCAGAUGCUGUGGUUGGCCGGGUACAGCGGUCUUACCUGACCGACAACAUGUGUGUAUGUAUGUGGCACACAAACAUGUCUUUCUUUCUUCAUCUGUCACCUGAUACUGAACACAGGUGAUCAUAUUUACCUGCUGAUGUGUGUACAGAAUGUGCGUUUGUGAGCAAUGGCUUCAAACGCAAACGGCUUCAUACAAUUUGAUUCAUUUGUUCUCUGUGUUCACCCUAACCCCUCACAUUCAUCCGGCCACGUUUACUGCUGCUCAUCCAGGUGUGAGGGAUUGAGUGCAGGUGCCCUGGACAAACAGGUGCUGUUGACUACAGUCUCUCAUCAGGGUGAAUAUGAGGAUUCCGUCAUCACUAUCUGUGUACUUCUGUACAAUGAUCUUUUUCAUUUUCGGUUAAUUUUGUGAAAACUAGAAUGUGUUUUUUUUCAGUAAAUAAUAACUGACUGCAUUUAUGUCUGAUUCUCGCAAAGUAUGGAGUGUUUUUUUCCGAGUGUGUCAUUUUAGCGUCUUGGCUGUAAAACUAACCAUCUGCUGUCAUUGUGAAGCAAACACUGACUCAGACAUUCAACUCUUUAUAUGUUUCACAGAAGAAAUACUGCACACGUUUGAACCAAACAAGGACGAGUUUGGCAGCUGUUUCAAGUUCGAUCUUCAAUAUGUUGGAUCUGAUGUUAUAUUUAAUUCAAAUCUCAUGCACAAGGUUUAAAAAAAGCCAUAAAAUAAAUGAGUAUCGUCUAAUCUCUGUUGAAGGCUGGCUGAGGCUGGCUGAUAAUGUUUUGGCCUUGUAAUGGGUCGUUGUGAGGCCAAAUUAUUGUGUGUAGGAAGGAUUAUGAAACAUAAAUAUACAAGAGACACAUUGUAUUUCCUUUUCAAUAAAACUAACGUGCCAUAAGUUUUCCUUUCAUAGUGUUUGGAAAGCCAGACGUCAACAUUCCUUGAGCCUAGCUGUUUCUAUGGUAACGGUUACACCUGUCGAAUGGCGGAAGUUACAUCAAAGUGGUCCACAGACCCACAUGUGUGCCACAGAAGCCGGACAAUACAGUUUAUUAUGUGUGAAUGAACAGCCGUUGAGAAGACCAGAAUCACUGACAAUCCCUUUGAAGUCACAAAUCGGACGCUCUCACAACGCUCUCACAACGUUCCCACAACGCUGCAGCAACCCUCUUACAUUUAAACCUGCUUUGAGCUCGGGUUCACAGUAGCGUGCUCAAACUCUCAGAAGCUGUUGUUCAACAUUACAGAAGAGGUCUUUUGAGUACACACUGUAAGCCAACAUGAAAAAAGGGAAAGUCCAGAAUGUUCCCAGAGUGUUUCUUCCUGUUUCUGAAUUUCACCUCCUCUGUAGCACACAGCGCUUCGUCAUCAACAUUGCUCAAUACGUUUACACAGAAGUUUCAUUUAAGAUGAAGCGUGUAGCAUUGAAGCAAACAAUAGCUCAUUAUUUGACUCGCAGAUUCUUGCACGGCUCUCAUGGGAUUUAACACAAACUGCUGUUUUGAAAUGCAGUUAACCAUGUCAUGGAACCGUUCACAGUUUGAAAACCAUUGCCAUAGUGUAAUUUGGUGAAUGUGAGUGUUUUGAAUCCUCUGUAUUAUACGUAAUAUCCCCAAAAAUGUCUAAAUCCUGAAUGUAGUGAAAUGAGGAUUGUCGGAUGUGACACGGUAAGACUCUUUUGGCACACACGGCCCCAUUUAAAAUCAUGUUUCUUCAGCUGAACAGCUGCGUUUAAUCCAGUGGCGUUUGUUUCCUGGAGCCUUGUUUCCAAAUGCUGAACGGGGGCAGGCAAGUUCACACAGACCUUUCUUCUCAAACCCCUCCUGUUCUCUGGCAAACAUCAAACGUCCCGUCCGCUCGGACUUUUUUCUUCUCAACAAGAUUCUAGCAGCUUUGUGGGAGGAUAAUUGAGGGCAGACGUCUGAGGCGCCGGCGGAUAUCUGGACCUUUUUGGGGAGCGUAAAACACACUUUUCAGAGGGUUUCUUUGUGGACUCCUCCCCGUCACUGAAUCUACUGAGUCAUUCCACAGCCAAGUGGGGCCUCUAUACUAAACAUCACACGGACACAUGAUAUCUGGCCCCUGCUUGUUGAAUUUUGUGUGUUUUGGUAGGAUCAACGGAACCAUGGCAGACUCGAACGCCCGUGCACGUGUCCUGCUCUCUCCCCCUCUCUCUUUAUUUCGCAAAAAAAACUUUAUUGUCAGUUUGGCCGCGACUCAAAGAAAGUCAACUUUGGAGACGUGUUGUAAAGAAAGAGGAAGGACAUAAAUUCGGACAGAUCGUGUGUUUAUACUGCAGGCCCACGCACGGCGUUGACUGUUCUUUUAAACAAUAUCAGCCGUUCAUUGUUGUUUGUGCUCCGCAGGAAGCCGACGCAGAUGUUUGUCACACUACGCUUGCGGUUCGUCCCAGCCCACUCGUUCUGUGUCGUGGCAGCACUUUUUUUUCAGAGCUCUGUCUCUUUCUGACGGGAGGGUCAUCGGCGGGCCAGGUCCAAAUGAAAAAAUACUUGGCUUUUUUUCCUGGCGAGCGCUCAAACCCAGGCUUUUGAAAAGAUUACUGUGUGGCUGCUGCCCCGCCGGGAUGCUUGAGGUUAGGAAUUCACUCGGAGGCGCUUUUCAAUUCAGCUAGCCGGCAACGUUCCCCUCCCUCUCUCGUUCUGCUCCAUUUUGUCUCGGUGGUUUCCUAAACUGUUUUCACACUGGAGUGUAGACCCGAGUCUGCGUUCAACUUUCAUGCUUCCUGUAAAAUCUUUUUUUUGGUAAAAAAUAUAUUUUUCUCUUGUUUUUUAAUCAGCAACAAGAUUUCUGAGCAUCCUUUAA